CCUACGGGAGGCAGCAGUAGGGAAUAUUGCUCAAUGGGGGAAACUCUGAAGCAGCAACGCCGCGUGGAGGAUGAAGGUUUUCGGAUUGUAAACUCCUUUUGUUAGAGAAGAUAAUGACGGUAUCUAACGAAUAAGCACCGGCUAACCCCGUGCCAGCAGCCGCGGUAAUACGGGGGGUGCAAGCGUUAGUCGGAAUCACUGGGCGUAAAGAGCGCGUAGGCGGGGUAGCAAGUCAGAUGUGAAAUCCUAUGGCUUAACCAUAGAACUGCAUUGGAAACUGUUAUUCUAGAGUAUGGGAGAGGUAGGCGGAAUUCUUGGUGUAGGGGUGAAAUCCGUAGAGAUCAAGAGGAAUACUCAUUGCGAAGGCGACCUGCUAGAACAUAACUGACGCUGAUGCGCGAAAGCGUGGGGAGCGAACAGGAUUAGAUACCCCUGUAGUC
rnacentral:rRNA from 1 species